UGGGGAAUUUUGGACAAUGGGGCAACCUGAUCCAGCAAUGCCGCGUGUGUGAAGAAGGCCUUCGGGUUGUAAAGCACUUUUGUCCGGAAAGAAAUCCUUGGCUCUAAUACAGUCGGGGGAUGACGGUACCGGAAGAAUAAGCACCGGCUAACUACGUGCCAGCAGCCGCGGUAAUACGUAGGGUGCAAGCGUUAAUCGGAAUUACUGGGCGUAAAGCGUGCGCAGGCGGUUUGCUAAGACCGAUGUGAAAUCCCCGGGCUCAACCUGGGAACUGCAUUGGUGACUGGCAGGCUAGAGUAUGGCAGGAGGGGGGUAGAAUUCCACGUGUAGCAGUGAAAUGCGUAGAGAUGUGGAGGAAUACCGAUGGCGAAGGCAGCCCCCUGGGCAAUACUGACGCUCAUGCACGAAAGCGUGGGGAGCAAACAGGAUUAGAUACCCUGGUAGUCCACGCCCUAAACGAUGUCAACUAGUUGUUGGGGAUUCAUUUCCUUAGUAACGUAGCUAACGCGUGAAGUUGACCGCCUGGGGAGUACGGUCGCAAGAUUAAAACUCAAUGAAUUGACGGGGUCAUAGCUGUUUCC
rnacentral:rRNA from 1 species